rnacentral:rRNA from 1 species
AACGAACGCUGGCGGCAGGCUUAACACAUGCAAGUCGAGCGAGUAAGUGCUGUAGCAAUACAGAUUACUGCUAGUGGCGCACGGGUGAGUAACACGUGGGAAUGUACCCUUUAGUUCGGAAUAACAGCGGGAAACUGCUGCUAAUACCGGAUACGCUCUUCGGAGGAAAGAUUUAUCGCUAAAGGAUCAGCCCGCGUCAGAUUAGGUAGUUGGUGGGGUAACGGCCUACCAAGCCUACGAUCUGUAGCUGGUCUGAGAGGAUGAUCAGCCACACUGGAACUGAGACACGGUCCAGACUCCUACGGGAGGCAGCAGUGGGGAAUAUUGGACAAUGGGGGAAACCCUGAUCCAGCCAUGCCGCGUGAGUGAUGAAGGCCUUAGGGUUGUAGAGCUCUUUUGCUAGGGAAGAUAAUGACGGUACCUAGAGAAUAAGCACCGGCUAACUUCGUGCCAGCAGCCGCGGUAAUAC